ACAUAUCUAAAUAACAAGCUGUUACAUUGGAGUGAAAACUGAAUUGUAUUAGGCUAUAACAUCUGCAUUAUUGACUUGUUACUAGUAUUCAUUCUUAGCUGGAAUUUGAAAACUUUGGUCAGCAUGAACCUGUCUUCACUGAUGAUAUCAUGCCUUAGCGGAAUAUUGUGCUUCAGUGUGUCUUGACCUUUUAAGGUUAACUACGUUUAGAAAUAUGCACUCUUUUCGUAAAUAUUUUUGAUUCGUGAAUUAACACACACACCACUUUACGAAAGCGUGCAAAUAUUAUCGGUGUAUUUGAAAGGAAGUACAUGUACAUGUAGCUAUUAGAUAAAAUGUGUUGCAAACCGACACGUAUGGUGAUCUACGUACAAAGUAAACAAAGAAUUUUCGUAGCUUUGCGGCGUUAUUAAAAAUACAGUGCUGGCUAAUACUGAGGUUGUGAAGUAUGGUGGACGUUGUAAACAUUUUGAGUUGUUCCAUCUGUAUAGAGAUUUUCCAUAUACCACGAGUAUUACCAUGUCAACACACAAUCUGCCAAGAUUGUUUAUCGAGCUACAUCAAUGAUGUGAGAAAAAAGAAGGGCAAGAAAAAGAAAUCAGCGGUCACAUUUAAAUGCCCUUUGUGUAGAGCACCAGUUGAUCUAAAAGAGGAACCAUUUGAUGCUUCACAUUUCCACUAAAUUUGACAGUUGUUGCUUUUGUAGACACUCCGUCAUUUCUUGAUACUUGCUCCGGAAGUCCCGAGAAAAAUACAGGUAAGGCAAAGUCUGAGAGUGAUUCUACAAACAGUGUGCUAGCUACAAACACAGUAGCAGAGAACGGAAAAUUGCAAAGUACAACCGAGCAUUCUUUCGACAAUUUAUUCGACGUUAGUUACGGACUUCCGAGGCAUGUUGCACAGUGUAUCUUGAAUCCUAUAACAAACCGUAAAGAGUUUAGUUUUAGAAUUGUUUUGGCAGUCAUAGAGUUGUUUAUCUGUAUGAUUAUCGCGUCAUAUGUCCUAAGCGUGGUUAAACAACACGACUUGUGGUUAAUCUACUUCAUCUGCUCAGUUAACACAGGUAAAGGGAUUAUAAUAUAUUCGUGGAAAGCAACGAGACAUAAAGAUCUUCGGGUAUUGUUCAUAUCUGCACUUGGACAUGUUGUGCUUCACAUAUUUGAGUGUGCUUUUAUUGGAUUCCUGGUGUUCUUCGUUUUAUUCACAGCUAGUAUUCUGGAAAGCAUUCAAACAGCACCAGUUCGACGGUUAACUGUUAUGUCUGAUCUUGGUCAUCCGCAGUGCUUUGAAGAAAAAUAUCUUGAUUUUGAGUUUGUUUUGAACCAAGCAAUGCAAACUAUGAGCUUGACUUUCAAUAAAUAUGUUAUACAAUUCCAUAUUCUCAAAGAUAAUUGGUACCGCUUACUCAUAAACUGAAACAAGUCAAAAUCCAGUCGGAUUGUGGUCAAUUUUGUAGUUAUACUUGACAAGCUUUUCAGAUGAUUGCAACUGGUUGUAUACGUUUAAAAGUCCCAUUCCGAUGGUCAUCCUCUCGGAACUAUUGUUUGCGUAGUGUCCGACGGUACGUUCGGCACUCUUUCCAAAACUCUCCAAAACUCCGUAAUUCACCAAUAUUGCUUUAAUACCUUCACAUUCGCCAGAAGCUAUGGCGUCAAAAUCAAGCUUAUAAUAGAAAUUUAUAGGCAUUGUAGUUGACUUAUUCGACGAAACUUAAGAGCACUUCGUCGGCGUCCACGUCCCUACUGGUUAGGCUUCUGUUCAUUUACUGGAAUUUUAGUAACCACCCGUGAAAAUGCAUUGAAACUUCAGACCAUUUUCAUUAUCUAAUGCGCAACGUACAGGUUCCAUAACUCUGAUUAGCUUUUCUUGACAAAGGACCUUGCAAUUUUUACACACCCGUGAAACGGGACGCAUUAUGUGACCGCCUGCGGCAGACGCCUGGCGUUCCCAAAGAUUUCCGCUCUGUAACUUGAACAUGUCUUAUGCAGUACUCACCAAGCAAUGUUAAAAGGCUUAAUAGCUUAUUGCGGUCAAGUUCGAUGACCAGACUAGAUUGCCUCAGAGGCUCCUUGGUAAAGACCCUUUAAUUACAGUCCCUGGCUCGCGGAUUUUGCUUUUUCCGCGUUACCACCGGCACAAAUAUUUACUCUGAGUGGAAAAUCGCGAUGAUGUUUCACAUUGAAUCACUAUUGAAGACUGUGAUAAAUCGCGAUGAUUUUUUAAGACCCCGCGAUCUAUUAUAGAUAAAGUGCACAAAUAUUUACCCUGAGUGGACACUUUAUCUAUAAAAGAUCGCGGGGUCUUACAAAAUCAUCGCGAUUUAUCACAGCCUUCAGUAGUAAAUGACUGAUUUUCCACUCAGGGUAAAUAUUUGUGCACUUUAUCUAUAAUAGAUCGCGGGGUCUUAAAAAAUCAUCGCGAUUUAUUAUACUUGGUAUAUAAAAGAAGUAUUUUAUUUAUUUUCGUAUAAAUAUAAAGAACGGUCUGCGAUGAUAAUUUUUUAGCUUCAAUUAAACAAAUCACACAUUACUAGUUGAAAAAAGUUAUUCAAUAGUUUAUCUAGACUAAACAUUUAAUGGAUUCUUAUGUAUACUAAUUUAACCAAUAUAUUAUAUCAAGCUAAAUUUGAACACCAAUUAAAGCUUUACACUGGUAAUACAUAAUAUCCAGUUUAUAAAAAUAUAUAGCGUGUGAGUCAUUAUUUUUGUUGAUAUUUUAAAAAAAACAUACUUCAAAUGUUUAUUAAAUAUAUAAGAAAAUGUGCAUUUCAUACCACGUGUAUCAUUUCUCUUAAACGUGAUCAUAUAUCGGCAAAAGUUGUCAAUUAACCCCCUAUCUAUUGACACGCGUUAUAACCACAUUGAAAUAUCUCGUCACUGUGAAGGGUAAAACACGUAGCCGGUCUAAUACAUGUACAAUAUAACAGUAUACUGACAAACUUGCAAAAUUUACUCUUACUUAAAUAUUAUAAUAUUAUUGCUGAAUUAAUCUGUCAACCACGUGUUCGGCUAAAAGGACAAUUUAACGCCUGCAUGUAGUUUACAUGUUUUGAAAAAAGCACCUGGCAAAUAAAGAAACUUCAGAUUUUCUUGCGUAUAUUCGUGCAAUUUUUAAUUGAAUUUCGUUUUCUUAUAACUUUGUUUAUUAUUUCAACAAGCACUCCUUUAAACAAAAACAAAGAGUUUAUGCGCCAAAUUUAACGGUUACCUUCUUAAUUUUUAUUUUAUUGCAAUAACAAGAAAAGAAAAAAUGUUAGGCAUUUUUGUAUUUUACAUCCCUUUAUUUCAAAACAUUCUUUAUCUUUUAAACUUUUAAAGAUUAUUUUAUCUCUUAAUAUUUAUAUACUACCUUAAAAUUUAGUCAAUAAUAAUUUUUUAAUUGUGAAAUGUAAACUUUGUAAUAAUUUUGGUUUGCUUUUGCCAAAUUAUUGUAAAUUUAAUUAUUGUAUUUAUACAUGUAUCUAGCGGAAUGUCACAUUACAUUCACCGAUUUAAUUUUAAAAGCGCGUAGACUGUUCUUAUUGUAGUUUAAAGCAACUGGUUUAAAGGUUAUUUGAUAUAUAUGCGAUUUAUCUUCCCUAUUCAUUCAUAUUUACUAUCAUCAGUUUUGACAUUUCUUGUACAGGUGAAACUCAAUAAUCUGAUUUUAUCAUGUUGUGUUAUAUUUCAAUAGCUGUGCAUGAUUGUACGUUUAUGAUAAAAACAUUAACCAUUCUUUCGUAAGUUUUUUUAUGUAAAUGGAAAAAAAAUUACACUGUAUAACAUUUUUACAUUAUUUUAUCAUUAUGAUACUGAAAAAAAAAGUUUUCACUAUAUGCAGAUAUUUACUUUUUACAUAAUACGGCUACAUUGAAAAACACACUUAACAUAUUAUAAAUGGUAAGACAAAGAAUGCAUUAUUUUAUAUAAAGAUAGUUGUUAUCAAAUCUUGUCAGUAGAUACAUUUUUUGUUAUGAAAAUACGUAUUACAGAAAGAAUCUGUGCAAAAUAUAUUGGAAAUUAUUAUUAAUAGAGGUGAUGAAGACAUUUACUUUUCAUUUUUCCUAAGAAUAUUUGAUGUUAAAAUUCCUGUCGGUUUAUAUGCAUUCUACACUCUAUAUAACAUUUAUAUCGUCAUUCUCUUACCUGUAAAUCGCGGCGAUCCACCGCAAUUCACCGAGAACCACCGGCACUUCACCGCGAUAUGCCUUCGCAAUACACCGCAAUCGAUUUAUUUCUUUUGAUCGCGGUGGAAGCUGAAACAUAUAUUACGGGGAUGCAGCAAAAAACGCGCAUCCCCGUGGCUCAUUAAAGUGUCCGCGCUAGGGUCCAAUCGCAGGGAAGCGCGAACUUUGAAAAAUCCGCGAGCCAGGGACUGUACUUACAUUGGUGAAAAUAAAGAGUGUCCGCUCUCUAACUUGAGCAGUUCUUAUAUUUGUUCACCAAACGGGGUCACAGUUUAUUGUAUAAUAUUUCGAACAAGUUCAAUAACGAGCCAGAUUGUGCUAGAGAUUCUGGAAUUAUUACCCUUGAAUAACUUGAAAUUGAGAAAAUUGACAAUGCGCGCUCUUGAGUAGUUCUAACCAAGUGUUUACUAAAUUGAGUCACAACUAUCUCGAUCAGUUCGAUUCGAUUAACAAUCUGGAUUAUCCCCAGAGGCUGUUGAAUUUCUAAAACAGAGAAAAUUGAUAGUGUCCGCUUUCUAACUUGAGUAGUUCUUAUCCAUGUUUCGUUAUUCUUGAACAUAAUGAUUAUGGGCAUAAAAUCUCUGACACUUUCGAUAACCGGCCGGAUACUCCUAGUCACUUUCGAGUUAUGGCCCUUGUAUUAUUUGAAAUUGUAAAAAAGACAAAGUACUCUAAAUAUAUUAUGUCCACAAGAUUUAGUCCGAAUGUUUAUGGUCGAUAAGGUCAUACCCAGGGGGGUAGUCUUUGUUGCUCUGAAGUUAUGGCCUUAGAAUCAGUCGAAAAUGAGAAAGGAUUAGAGAGUAUUUUGUAAAUUAAAAGUAAUUUGAUGUGAUGGGCGAAUAUUGUGACAGUUUUCUGGCUCUUGUUGCUUGUUGGUUUAGGAUUGUUUUCUUUAUAUCAGCUGGUGUCUCAGAUACCUCGUGUAGUAAUGAAUUGAAACUUUAAAUUUGUUUUAUGUGGUUAUCUGACAUGUGAUGCGCAACUUCUUUUACUCAAUGGGCCCAUCCCAGUGGUUCCUCUUUUAUAACAUAGCAAUUUUAUUAAAGUUUUUUUUUAUAAAAACCGGCGCCACAUUUAACAUCAUACAAAUGGAGGAUUCUAUGACUCGUACUUAGGUUUAAGCUAUAUUUUUCGCUCUUUUUGAACAUGAUUAUUUAAUUAUACUUGAUAUGUUUUCAAUUUACUUUUUUGUUACAAGUCUUUUGAAUACUUGAGCAUUUUUGUUAGCCGACGUAUUUAGUUUUCAACUUAUUCUUAUAUUUAUUUUUUAUUUGAAUAAAUGUAGUAUGUUAUUUGAUUAAA